rnacentral:lncRNA from 1 species
AGAAAUAUUCCAAUGUUAUAAUAAAUGGAUGGAAACACAAAGGAAUAAACAUCAAUGGAGAAUAUUUCAAUCACCUGAGAUUUACAAACAAUAUAGUACUGUUCACCAAACACCAAAUGAACUACAUGAAAUGCUAAGUGAUCAAGACAGAAAGUGACUGCAAAAAUAGGACUGAAAAUGAACUAUGAGAAGACAAUGCUCAACACAAAAGUAAAUUCACAACCAGUAAUGAUAGAAAGUUGGACAAUUGAGAGUGGAAGAAUAUUAGUACUUAGGACAAAUAAUCACAACACCAGGAGAAUAAAUGAGAGAAAUUCACAACCAGUAAUGAUAGAAAGUUGGACAAUUGAGAGUGGAAGAAUAUUAGUACUUAGGACAAAUAAUCACA